UUGUGCUGGGGGAGUCAAAGGGGAUAAAUUCUUUUCCAGCAUAGUUGAUCCUAAUGAUAGAGAAGAGCAGUUCAUGUUUAAUGUGCUUUUAAGAGGAAGCUGUUCCAGGAAUGGAUCCAAGUUUCCAGAGUUUGAUAUAUUUUUGCUGCUGUUCGAGGAAGACUUCCUCCUCUCUUGUGAAGAGAUAAGGUUUGUUGUUGGAGUUCUCUUUGUGAACAGGGAAAUUGGACUAGCCAGGUUUGUGAAAUGUCUCUGAACGGAUAUUCCAUGGUAGCUGAGAAGGGAUUUAUUUGCAAUUAUCCGUGCUGUUUUCUCAGCCGAUUUAAAGUCUCAGUAGCCCAGCCACCAGCAGCGAGGAAGUGGGGAACCUGUCGUCCAUCUUGCUGCUACUCUACCGUGCAGGAGCCCUUGAAGGACUGGUGGGGGCUCUGCUCACACAAGCAGCAGAAGAUGGAGCAUUUGCAAACCUCGCUUUACAAGAACAUGGGAAGGUGCCUUACACGGAGUCAGACCAUUGGUCCAUCUAGCUCAGUAUUGCCUACACUGACUAGCAGAAGCUCUCCAGGAUUUCAGAUUAGGGACAUCCUCAGCCCUACCUGCAGAUGCUAAGGACUGAACCUGGUACCAGUGAGCUACAGACUUCCCCAGGGGGCUGAAUCUUCAAAUAUGAAGAUCUUCCAGUUGCUCAAAGCAGUCAUAUUGUCAUGUUGUAUGAUAGCGUGUCAUGUGCCCAUCAGUCGCUUGUAACUUAGUGUGCCAUAAAGAUACUUGAAAUUUUCACACUUCCAUUCUUCCUACUGAAAAGAAAAAUCCUUGAAAUUCAAAUUGUUCAGAUGAAAAGCAUCCUUGAGUGGGUUAACUUCAAAUGUGAAUAAAAUGCUGGUUGCAUCCCAGGAGAGGCACUGCCUUUAAAAAAAACAAAAAACCACCAAAAAUUUUGGGAUGAGAUUGAAGAGUAACGCUUGAUCACCUUCCAACACACGUUUCCCUAAUAUGGUUUGAAAUAUCAUAUAGGAAUAUAAUCCUCUGCAGGCAGUGAUUUGAAGAUAUUUCUUUCUCCAACAGACUGUAGCUGGACAGACAGUUCAUUAAUGAAAUCUGGAAAGGAAAGGGGGUGAAGAAAUGUUGUUUCAGGUUUCUGAACACAACCUCUCCAACGCUCAUUAACAAUUGUCUGUCAAAGUGCCUUUGAACUGACAUCUCUUGCUUUUCUUGGGUGGGAAUGGGAUGUGUGUGUAUGUACAUAAAAUAGGUAGUGUUAUGGGUUUGGGGGGUUGACAUGGAUGAUUUCUAUGAGUUCCUAUGAGCCUCUGAUCUGGAACCCUGCACCUGGGGGUGAGAAGACCACUGUGCUGGUCAGAUGAGUUCCCUUUGUUAGUCUACUAGAGUGGUCAGGUGAGUUAGUGGGCUGAUCUAGUGCCCAUUAUCUGGGCCAGGGAGAUCCUAUUGUUAGUGAAACUCUUCAGGAGAGCCCCCUCCCCUUCCGGGGGUGAAGGAGAGGCUUGUGUUUUGAGUGGAGUCGGAGGAAAGGCUGGGAACUGGAGGCAGGCAGAGGGGCUGGCUCUCUGCACCAGGGC